CGUGUAGGCGGUUUGGCAAGUCGAGUGUGAAAUCCCACGGCUCAACCGUGGAACUGCGCUCGAAACUGCCUUACUUGAGUGCGAGAGAGGUGUGCGGAAUUCCUGGUGUAGCGGUGGAAUGCGUAGAUAUCAGGAAGAACACCGGUGGCGAAGGCGGCACACUGGCCCAGCACUGACGCUGAGGCGCGAAAGCGUGGGGAGCGAACG
rnacentral:rRNA from 1 species